AGCAUUCGUUCGCCAUUUCAGUGCAACAACUGCUUACUUCUUGGGCAUAGAGUUAAAGUGCUAGGGUUGCCACCUGGUAAAUAUUUCUCUCCUUCCUGUUCCUUAGCAGUGUAAAAUCAUAAAACACCGUUCAAAACUUUUAAACGCUUUGAUUCUAUUUCUGAUUUUCAUAAUUAUCAAAACACUAGUGCUGAUAUCACACGAUUACUUAAAUACUCCAAAAGGAACGCAUGGAAAUACAUAAUGGUGUUCGAAUCUAAACCAUUGCCGUUUUUUUCGCCCAUCACGUUAAGUGUGCUUAAUUCCGUCAUUGAGUUAA